GUUAAUGACUGCUUCCAUUUCCUUAGGGAUUUUAAGUCUAUGUAAGUUGUUUAUCUAAUCUUGAUUUCACUUUGGCAAGUGGUAGCUGUGAAGAAAAUCAUCCAUUUAUCUUGGAUUUUCAAGUUCUGCGGAGUACAGGUUUUUAAAGUAUGACUUGAUGACUCUCUGGAUUUCCUCUAUGUCUGUUGUUACGUCCUAGAGAGAAGGCUCUUAUUGUGGGAUACUACAAAUCAUGGCAAUACUCUCCAUAUGUCAAAAAGCAAGAAGGAAGAGUUUUGAUUUCCCAUAAAGAAAUGAUUAAUGUCUCAGGAGUGCUUCUAAGCAGAGAUGGUGAGCCUCUGCACCCAAGCUGAACAGCUGCUAUACUUCUGUGGAGCUGCGUAUUGCCCUGUGAGGUUUCAGAAGCAGAAGAUCCACAAACAAGAGUCUGAGACCAUGCUCAUCCAAGAAAGCUGCAGGUCCCGCACCACGAGAACCUUGACUCCUCUGACCUGGCUCCUGUACAAUUCCCGCAGCACAGGUCUCCACCCGGCUCCCAAAGCAGACACCCUCCACCUCAGGGGCACUUAUCCUCCAGAACACAAAAUCGCCUCAUUUUCUCACUCUAUCAGAUUUCUAUUCCAACAGCCGACUAUCCAUAGCCACCCUCCAUGAAAAAACAACUUCAGGUACUUCCUGUUUCUUGUCUUGUUCUAUCUCCUACAUAAAAUUCAAGACAUUCUUUUUCAUGUAUGUAUGUAUGAUGUGUCUUCUAGAACAACAUGCUCUGUGAAAGGUGAGACUGAUUCCUUUCAGCUAUAGCAUAUUCUCAGGAUCUGUUAGUAGGACCUGAUGCUAAGUACGUUAUAGUACUUACGAAUGAAUGAACGGAUGAUAAACAUCAACACUGUGGCUCUCCUCUGCUCCUCAUAGACUCUUUCAAGCUGCUAUGGCCCAACUACAAAUGCCUUCAAGAUAGACAAGCUGGGAUUAGGUUCUGUUGAGAUCCUCAUCCGCACUGAACUGUGACCAAGGGCUCCCUCAGCGAAGACUCUACAGUUAGACACUUCCUUAGCCAUUAUUUAAUAUCUCAUUUUAUAGAUCUAGAGACUGACAGAGAAGUGGCUUGCUUACGGCAAACAUUUAGGUUUGUAGGAAUUUUUUGCUGAAUGCUAUAGAAACUUUGAUUCUACUAAUAUAA